rnacentral:rRNA from 1 species
AACGAACGCUGGCGGCAUGCCUAACACAUGCAAGUCGAACGAUCCCUUCGGGGAUAGUGGCGCACGGGUGCGUAACGCGUGGGAACCUGCCCUUAGGUUCGGAAUAACUCAGAGAAAUUUGAGCUAAUACCGGAUAAUGUCUUCGGACCAAAGAUUUAUCGCCUUUGGAUGGGCCCGCGUUGGAUUAGCUAGUUGGCGGGGUAAAGGCCUACCAAGGCGACGAUCCAUAGCUGGUCUGAGAGGAUGAUCAGCCACACUGGGACUGAGACACGGCCCAGACUCCUACGGGAGGCAGCAGUGGGGAAUAUUGGACAAUGGGCGAAAGCCUGAUCCAGCAAUGCCGCGUGAGUGAUGAAGGCCUUAGGGUUGUAAAGCUCUUUUACCCGGGAUGAUAAUGACAGUACCGGGAGAAUAAGCCCCGGCUAACUCCGUG